GCUUGUCUCAAAGAUUAAGCCAUGCAUGUCUAAGUAUAAGCAAUUUGUACUGUGAAACUGCGAAUGGCUCAUUAAAUCAGUUAUAGUUUAUUUGAUAGUACCUUACUACUUGGAUAACCGUGGUAAUUCUAGAGCUAAUACAUGCAUUAAACCCCGACUUCUGGAAGGGGUGUAUUUAUUAGAUAAAAAACCAAUCGGGGCAACCCGUCUACUGGUGAAUCAUGAUAACUUUCGGAUCGAUCUUCGGAUCGAUGCAUCAUUCAAGUUUCUGCCCUAUCAGCUUUGGAUGGUAGGGUAUUGGCCUACCAUGGCUUUAACGGGUAACGGAGAAUUAGGGUUCGAUUCCGGAGAGGGAGCCUGAGAAACGGCUACCACAUCCAAGGAAGGCAGCAGG
rnacentral:rRNA from 1 species